rfam:Psychromonas ingrahamii 37, complete genome.
UCAACCACCUUUUUUGUUCCUUGCUUCUAUUGGUACGGUUGAGCCAAAUCAAGAAGCUAAUAACCCGUAAGGAGCGAUUUUUAUA